GGAUCUGACCAUGUCCUGCCGACAACGGAUCCGGACACCCCUCUAUCCGAUGCUUCUCGCUCCUCGCUGACACUCGGUGUGAAGAGCGAUUUUUCUCAUUCCGUGAAUGGGCACGUCAUCAAGGCAGGGCUCGAUCUCGUCAAACUGCGCGAAGGAGAAAGUUUCUUCUUCGAUGGCCGGGGAGAUCCGGACGUGUUUCCUUCGUUUCAGGGGUGGGGCCACGGAGGCCAAGCUAGUUUCUACGUGCAGGACCACUUCUCAGCAUUUCGCAACCUCACGAUCAAUUUGGGUAUUCGCUAUGACCAUUUCAAUCUUGUCGCGACGGACUCCCAAAUCAGUCCACGGAUCGCUCUU
rnacentral:misc_RNA from 1 species